CAGAGAAAGCAAUAUAUGUAUUUAUCUUUGGUAGAAUUAAAUAAAGCCAAAGAGAUCAAUUCCAUUUUAAUUUCAGCAUGUAAAUCUAUAUUUAAAUGACAUCUUUAUUAUACUUAGCUUAUAAAUAUAUAAACAUGUCUAAUUUUAAAUUUGCAUAGCCAAUACCUAUUUAAUAAUUUUAUAACGAAUGGAAAUUUAAGAUCAAGUUAAUGUAAUUUUCAUUUAGAGUUAAAACAUAAAUAAACAAACAAGUUAAAAGAUUUUUAUGCUUGCUUUAAGAUAAUGUAACAUAGUAUUACAAAGAAAUACUCAUUUUGAAUAAAUUGUGCUCUAUAUGGAUAAUUCCAGGCUUAAAAAUCUGCUCUUCAUCCCAGAUAAGAGUUUGCUCAUAA
rnacentral:lncRNA from 1 species